UAUAAACAACCAGGCAUAUAUAAGUUAAAAUGCAAAGAUUGCCCAUUAACUUAUAUAGGCCAAACAGGACGUACAUUUAAUCAAAGAUACAAAGAACACAUAACAGCCAUAAAACACAACAAAGACAACUCAGCAUACGCAAAACAUAUAUUAAACACUGGACAUGCAUACAAUAAAAUCGAACAAACAAUGGACAUUAUAAAAAUAGUACAUAAUAAACGACACAGAGAUACAAUAAAAAAAUAUUACAUACAACGUACACACAAACAAAAUAUUGCACUAAACGAUAACAACAAUCCCAUCUUCAAUACAAUACAGUUCAUUGACCCAACCCCGUAAAACAACUUUCUCCCUAUAUAUACAACCAGCAUCAACACACAUACCGAGUCACAGAUUGUCAUCACCCGAUAGCAGAUGUAGGACACACCACACAUCACAAAAUUUGAAAAUGAACAUCUGACUAUAGACAUGCAGAACAUUACGAAGACUGAAAAACCUACAAAAGAAAAUCUACAAAACAAAUCAAUAAAUAGUUGCAUUGAAAUAUAUAAUAGUUUUAAAGAUAUAAAUGACGAAAAAACCCUGAAGAUGAUGCAAUAAUAGCAUCG